CCUACGGGUGGCUGCAGUGGGGAAUAUUGCGCAAUGGGCGAGAGCCUGACGCAGCGACGCCGCGUGAGGGAUGAAUGUCUUCGGAGCGGAAACCUCUGUCAGCAGGGAAGUACGGUCACUGUGCUAAUCAUCAGUGAAUUGACGGUACCUGCAAAGGAAGCACCGGCUAACUCCGUCCAAGCAGCAGCGUUAAUACGGAGGGUGCGAGCGUUAAUCGGAUGUACUGGGCGUAAAGCGAGCGUAGAUGGUAUGUCAAGUCAAGGGUGAAAUCCCCGCGCUCAACGUGAGAACUGCAUUUGAAACUGGCAGCCUGGAGUGUGUUAGAGGAUAGUGGAAUUCCAGGUGUAGCAGUGAAAUGCUUAGAUAUCUGGAGGAACAUCAGUGGCGAAGGCGACUAUCUGGCACAUAACUGACGCUGAGGAGCGAAAGCGUGGGUAGCAAACAGGAUUAGAUACCCCAGUAGUC
rnacentral:rRNA from 1 species